UUCUAAAAGAUGGUGAUAAGGUAAAGAUUAUAGUGAGCUUGAAGGGGCGUGAAAAUGAUUUUAGAAAUAAUGCCAUCGAGCUCAUCAGACGGUUUCAGAAUGAUAUUGGGGAGCUUGCCGUUGAGGAGAACAAGAGUUUCCGCGAUAGGAACAUCUUCAUAAUAUUGGUUCCUAAUAAAGCCGUUG